rnacentral:lncRNA from 1 species
AGUAUGAAUAUUUCAGUGUCUGACAUAUAAUUUGAAAACUAUAUGCAGCUUCCCCUCUGUCAACUUGUGCAAAGUACUUGACAUUUUUUUUUUUUUUUUUUUUAUGAUUACAUGAGACUAUUGCUCAAAUUACAACUCAUAUUACAUGAGAAUAUACAUGAGAAUAUACAUGAGAAUAUAAUUGAUAUUUACAAAUCAGACUAUAACUGGGACCAACAUACAUCAAUAUUAAUGGAGCGCUGCCUAGAUUUUAACCCUUUCAAAUAUUCGAGGGAUGUCUACUCCUCACACUUGGGUAAAGAAACAGACUGCUUUUACUCAAAUUUACUUGAGGAAGGAAGACCCCCACAAUGCAUUGUGGGGGUUCGAACUACUGCUCUCCAAGUUGGAGAGCAGCAGCUCUCACCACUCGGCCAAAGGCCG